GGAGAAGCAGCAAUGAGAACUUCAAGAAGAGAUAUAAGUGGAGAUGGGGUUUUACCGUGCCAGGAUGGUCUCGAUCUCCUGACCUCGUGAUCUGCCCGCCUCGGCCUCCCAAAGUGCUGGGAUUACAGGCUUGAGCCACUGCGCCUGGCCAGAAGACAGUUAUUGCCUCAACUUACAGCUCAUCCAAGAUCAACUGCAGAGGAGGACGAGGGAAAUUUUAUAUGGGAACAAUUAUCUGAAAAAUACAAUAGAAGGCAACUGGAAAAGAGGCAAGGAUUCUAACUACAUACUGCAGAAAAAAUAUUCACACCUGUCAAAUUCCAACAGCUGGCAUUGUUGUUGUUCUACGAAUAAGCACACACAGAAUCCUCGUGAAUAGUUCUUUGUCUCUUGCUCUAGUAAAUCAUAACCUGCUUGUAGCUUUUUUAUGAACCUUCAGGAAUAACUCUUCAGAGGAUGCUAAUACAUCAUUAAGAUUAAAUUGAACCUCAAAGGUGGGUUUUUUUUCCAAAAUGAUAAAGGCCACCAACACUGCAAGGUUUGCCGUCAUUCCCUUGAUCUGGUAAGUGACACCGUCUUCAGGGUUUGUGUACUCAAAGAUAUGAUUAAUAAAACGGUGACCAAGACGUGUGACGUAAUGCUGGUCAUGGACCUGUGGAUGCAGGAAAUAGGCCAGAGGCACCAGGAAUACAUCCUUAACUUCAGCAGGAUUCGGCUGGGCCUGGAAGUUGUGGUCUAUUAAACCCACAAAUGGAGUUAUCAAUGUAUCUGUCUAAAAGCAGAAAACAAAACAGACAAAUUAAGAAGUGAAGUGAUACUGCUUCAAAUCCUAAAAUCAUGCCACUUCUAGGUGAGCUAAGAAAAUACACCGAACCUGGGAGAAGGGGAAGAAAGCUUAUUCCGGAAACAAAUUUAUGUUCCCCCUAAAAUGGGAGUCAUCCUGCUCUACCUGAGGUGACAUCUAUGAGAUGACUCUGAAAAUGAUUUCUUGUAUGAACAUAAAGUAGUACAAUCUUUUGGAAUGGCAAUUUGGCAGUAUCAUAAAAAUGUGUUCGCUUUGACCUGGGAAUUGCAUUUGUGUAUCUGUAUGAUAAAUUCCUACCAGUAAGAAAAGACACAAGUAUAAACCUGAAGAAUUAGUUUCAACAACAGCCCCAAAUUCUAAAGUUAUCACUCUUCACUUUAUAGGCAUUUAGGUUAUAUAAAUUAGGGUUAUAUCCAUAAAAGAGGAUACUAUGUAGCCUUUAAAAACAAUGGGAUAGACAUCUUUCCUUCUCAGUAAAGAAAAAAAUGUGCUAUACUUAUGAACAGAAAAGUAAAGUGAUAUAAUACUAGUUAUGACAUAUUCCCAUUUAUGGAAAAAUUUCAUAGUACAUACACAUAUAUAUAUAAUUAUGUGUCUUAUAUAUAACUAUAUGUGAACUACUUUAUAUAACACACAUGUAUAUAUUACAUGGGAGAGGGAUUUCUAUUUACAACCACAACUGCUUGCAAAUGAACAUGAGUGGCCGGGUGUGGUGGCUCACGCCUGUAAUCCCAGCACUUUGGGAGGCUGAGGUGGGCGGACCACCUGAGGUCAGGAGUUUGAGACCAGCCUAGCCAACAUGAUGAAAUCCCGUCUCUACUAAAAAUACACAAAUUAGCCGGGUGUGGUGGUGCGUGCCUGUAAUCCCAGCUACUCAGGAGGCUGAGGCAGGAGAAUUGCUUGAACUUGGGAGGCGGAGAUAGAUUGCAGUGAGCCGAGAUCAUGCCACUGCACUCCAGCCUGGGUGACAGAGAGAGGCCCAGUCUCAAAAAUAAAAAUAAAUAUAUAAAAGUAAAAAAGCAAAUGAACAUGAGUGUUGUCAAAUGAAAGACUGUUUUGUUAUACUGGAAACCCUGAGAGGGAGGCCUGGGGCUGAGUGAGGAUGUGGGAACUGGUAAGAGCUGCCUGCCUUUGUAUUAGAAAGUGAGAAGAACUGGAAUUCCUGGAGCAUCCCAAGAGGAAGUGGGUGGAAAAAGCCAGAGAGGUAGACACAUGGUGAGGCUGGGACCUAUCCGGCCUGCAGAAUGUUCUGAGGGACAGCCAAAGACAGGAAACCAAAUUUAGGAACAGAGACAACUCAGACCAUUAACCAAAAUAAUAGUGAAAGUCAACAUUUGGACCAGGAGGAGACAAGAGGAACAUAGACUUCGUAUGUCCUUGGGGCAGGAAAUUUGGGGUCAUUAAGUUACCCGAGGGCAGAGGCAACAUUCUACCAGCACGUAACACCACACCUGGCAUUGGGGAAAUGCUUAGUCUCUGAAUAUGGAGUUUUCCAGGUGGACUCUGAGAUAAGGACUCAGAUGCAAGUGAUUUUUUAAGAAAGUGCUCCCAGGGGAAACAGUUAAGGGGAAGAGGGGAGCAAUACUCAUAAGGGAAGAAGGCUGGCAAGGGCACCAUGGGGUGUUCUGGAGGGUAAAUUAAUAUGCAGUUUGUCCCACAUGGAGACAAGGGAGCUGGGAUUUCAUGCUCCCCAGCCCCAGUCAGUCACUGGUUAAGGACUACCUUGCCAGAGGUGAAUUCACAGGCACUCCCAGCUCUCUGUGCAGGACACAUGGCAAGGUGGCUCCAGUAUCAAGGGUACCAGUAUUCAGAAGAAAGCUGCCAAGUGUUGUCAGAGGCGUUUGAACCAGAGCAACUCCAUCUUGAAUAGGGGCUGGGUAAGAUAAGGCUUGGAGCUACUGGGCUGCAUUCCCAGGAGGUUAGGGCAUGCUUAGUCACCAGAUGAGACUGAGAUACAAGUCAUAAAGACCUUACAGUAAAGAAGGCCAUCAAAACGCACCAAAACCAAGAUGGCAAUGAAAGUAACCUCUGGUCAUCCUCACUGCUCAUUAUACGAUAAUUAGAAAGCAUUAGAAUGUUAAAAGAUACUCCCACUAGUGCCAUGACAGAUUACAAAUGCCACGGCAAUGUCAGGAAGUUACCCUACAUGGUCUAAAAAUGGGAGGAACUCUCACCUCUGGGAAUUGCCCAUCCCUUUCCUGGAAAACUCAUGAAUAACCCACCCCUUGUUUAGCAUAUGAUCAAGAAAUAACCAUAAAAAUGGCCAACCAGCAGCACAUGCUGUUGCUCUGUUAUGGAAUAGCCAUUCUUUUUUUUCUUUACUUCUCUAAUAAACUUGCUUUCACUUUAUGGACUCACCCUGUGAGAUCCUAGAACCCUCUCUUAGGGUCUGGAUCAGGCCCCCUAUCUGGUAACAGUGAGUUAUCAGAAGCCCUGGGGUUGUAAGAGGAAUAUGAAGGGGCCUGGACAGAGCCCCAACAAUGUAUGCUCAGUAAAUAUUCGUGGUUGCUGCUACCAUUGGUGACCACAACUUACGGGCACCUAGUCUAGUUCCCAGCACCCUCUGAUUCCUUACAACAAUCUGAUCGCGAAGAAGCCUUAACAACUACAAUUAGAGACGUGAAGAAACUUGCCCAAGGGCAUAUUCUGCUGAUACUUGGCAGAAACUGGAUUCGACCACAGAUGUGUUGCUCAUACU
rnacentral:lncRNA from 1 species